ACCAAUAUUUGCUUUUUUUUUUUUUUUUUUUUUAAAUAAUAAUAUUACUGAUUGUAUUUUAUGUUGUGAUGGAAGUUUUUAAGCUCUUUGUGUUAAGUUUAGAGCUGAUCUUGAAUGAAUUCUGUCUCUGUAUUCAUAUGUUAGAUAUUUCAUGUUUAAUUUUUGUGGGUAUUGGUACUUUUUUGUUUGGUGCUGAAUCUGGGUUUUUGGGAGCUUAAAGGUUAAGGCUUUUAUCUCUUGAGGCUGAUAUGCUUGUUUUCUGGCUCUCUUUUUGUGUUACACCAUCUUGUUACAAUGUCCUGAAGUAAAAAUUGCUUCGAAAUUGCUUCAACAAGGCUGUACUGUGCUACUUGACAAAGCUUCAGGUUUUAAUGGAUUAUGGUAGAAGUAGGCAGGUGCAAUACUUGUUAUCAAUUUGUUAUUUCAUUUCUCUAUUGACAAUUUUUCAUUUUAGUGCCAAUCAUUUGCAGAUACUUGGUUUCUUCUUUGGCUUUGUGGGAUUGCUUAUAUCCAAUCAGUUUGUUUUGCUUGUUUACAGAUCUCACAAGUGUCAAAAUUCUGUCCCAAUGGGGGGUUUAAGUGGGGGGUUUUUUGGACUUUGGAGAGACAAAUAUUCCUUUUUGUCUAAAUUUCAAGUCUACUGUGUUUAACUUUUCAACUUCCGGUUUACCUUUUAUGGAAACUUAAUCAAUUCAUUAUUAUUUUUUCCUUUAACAUUGAGAGUCAAAUUCCCAUCAUAGAUGACUUAAUUGAGUUUAAAAUAAUACCAGAUAGAUAUAUUUUUAGAAGUUUAUUUAGUAACUAAUUGUUUCAGAUUAAGAAUUCCCUUGACUUAGCUUUGUUGUAAUGCAUUCCAAAUAUGGGCUGCCUACGAAAAUUACCCCUAUUAUAUUCAUUCUUAGAUAUGGUUAUGGUGAGAUUCUCCUUGAGAUGGAUAGAGCCUUUUGUGACCAUCUGCAGUACGAAAAAAAUUGCCCCUAUUAUUUUCAAGCCAAACAACUUUUAUUAACUGAUAUUCCAAUCAGUUUGAUCAUAUGUCAAAGUUCAUUGAUAUGAACAACUGUUGGACGAAAAUUAAUCUGUCAAUCCUGAUCUCUUAGGUAGGGCUUUGUCAUCUCCAAUAAAUUUUCAUUUUGUACUCUGUUUGUUAAUGAUUUUAUUUGUAAUGAUCAGCAAGAUAUCUAAAUGAUUUUACUUUAUUAUAAUCUACAAUGGUAGCUAUUUUUGUGCUUAUUAUUGUGUUGAAAAUCUAAUAAUUCUGUGAAUUUAUUCUAAUUUUUUGACUUAGUCAGUCAAUAUUGUGAGGAUUUCAGAAUGUAUUAAUAUGAAAUAUAAGACCAUUAGCUCGUACAUGUGCAUGCAUACUUCCUAUAACAAAGCUGUGUUACUUGACAAAACUUCAGGUUUUAAUUGAAUGUGGUAGAAGUAGACAGGUGCAUAGUUCUUAUCAGCUUGUUAUAUCAUUUCUAUAUUGACAAUUUUUAGUGCCAAUCAUUUGCAGAUACUAGGUUUCUUCUUUCAGUUCUUUGGGUGGAUUGUACUCCAUCAGUUUAGAGAUCUCACAGAUGUCCAAAUUCUGUCUGAAUGUGGAUUCUAUUUUUGUGCAACAAGACUGAAACUAAGCAGGCAUUUAACAUUGAAGCAUCAAGCAUACAAUAGCUCUUCAAGUUAGCGCAACAAUUGUAGACGGAUGCCUGAAUGGGAUUAAACAAAUUAUCCCAAUAUCAUGGUCUUGAGUAUAAGGGAUGGCAAAUGUAGCUUUACGACAGACAAGGUUUUUGAGACUCUAAAAGGCACGAUAAACCCGGGAAACUUGUGGAAGCGCAUCAAACUGUAAUGUGAUGAGGUUUAAAAACUUUGGAAGGAGAGAUCAAACCAAAUUCAAAAUCUCAAAAAAUUUUAUUCUUCCAUCCACGUCAGAAAUGUAACCAACCUGAGUUACGUUUAUCCCAACAACAAAUUUGCCUCGACAAUAGGUCAAAGUCUAGCAUGGUUAUUUAUGUCUAGCUAUUCAUGUACCAAUACAAUUGUCCAUUGUAUUUUUAUAAAUAAAUCAAGUGUACUAGCUUUACAUUCGCAGGGAGGGAGAUGUUCUUACUACACAUAUCAUUCUCUCCUGCCUAAUGUCAUCUUCUUCAAGCUAUAUAUGUACUAGUUUUUCAUAA